rnacentral:rRNA from 1 species
GACGAACGCUGGCGGCGUGCCUAAUACAUGCAAGUCGAGCGGACAGAAGGGAGCUUGCUCCCGGAAGUUAGCGGCGGACGGGUGAGUAACACGUGGGCAACCUACCCUGUAGAUCGGGAUAACAUCGAGAAAUCGGUGCUAAUACCGGAUAAUCAUUUGAAGUGCAUGCUUCGAAUGUAAAAGAUGGCUCCGGCUAUCACUACGGGAUGGGCCCGCGGCGCAUUAGCUGGUUGGUAAGGUAAUGGCUUACCAAGGCAACGAUGCGUAGCCGACCCGAGAGGGUGAUCGGCCACACUGGGACUGAGACACGGCCCAGACUCCUACGGGAGGAAGCAGUAGGGAAUCUUCCGCAAUGGAUGAAAGUCUGACGGGGCAACGCCGCGUGAGUGAUGAAGGUUUUCGGAUCGUAAAGCUCUGUUGUUAGGGAAGAACAAGUGCCGUUUGAAUAAGGCGGCACCUUGACGGUACCUAACCAGAAAGCCACGGCUAACUACGUGCCAGCCGCCGCAGUAACAC